GACGAACCCUGGCGGCGUGCUUAACACAUGCAAGUCGAACGGAAAGGCCCUGCUUUUGUGGGGUGCUCGAGUGGCGAACGGGUGAGUAACACGUGAGUAACCUGCCCUUGACUUUGGGAUAACUUCAGGAACCUGGGGCUAAUACCGGAUAGGAGCUCCUGCUGCAUGGUGGGGGUUGGAAAGUUUCGGCGGUUGGGGAUGGACUCGCGGCUUAUCAGCUUGUUGGUGGGGUAGUGGCUUACCAAGGCUUUGACGGGUAGCCGGCCUGAGAGGGUGACCGGCCACAUUGGGACUGAGAUACGGCCCAGACUCCUACGGGAGGCAGCAGUGGGGAAUAUUGCACAAUGGGCGGAAGCCUGAUGCAGCAACGCCGCGUGCGGGAUGACGGCCUUCGGGUUGUAAACCGCUUUCGCCUGUGACGAAGCGUGAGUGACGGUAAUGGGUAAAGAAGCACCGGCUAACUACGUG
rnacentral:rRNA from 1 species